CUGAGAUUUAAGCAAGGUUAGCGGGUAACACAAGCGAAUGAGGCAGCCCACUGUGAGACGAUGGGAGUGGUGGGGACUGGGCACACUCCUGAGCCCUUGUCCUGUGCCCAGGGAGCUCCCACACUACUCAGGCCCAGCUGAUGAUGCCACGCCAGAAUGCAGACCCCACUGCCAAAUUUUCUGGCUUGACAAGAUAAGCUUAUAUUUUUAUGUGAGAUCUCCUGAUUUUUAUGUAAAAACCUCCUUUUUAAAAACAAAACAAAACAAAAAACAAACAAAAAGCCCCCCCAAAACCAAAAACAAAAACCCAGUGCUGUCCAAACCAGCCACACCCUGCAAGCCGGAUCUUGUAUGUGGGGUCCCUGUUUGAUCUUUAAUUUGUAUUUACCUUCUC
rnacentral:lncRNA from 10 species